AUAAUAAUUAGGUUUUUAAUUGAAAUCUAGAAUGAAUGAUUGGACGAGAUACAGGCUGUUUUAUAAUAAUUAAUUAAAACUUAAUUUUUUAGUCAAAAAGCUAAAAUUUCAUUAAAAGACGAGAAGACCCUAUAAAUCUUUAUAAUAAAUUUAUUUUAAUAAAUUAUUUUAUUUAAAUUAAUAGUUUUAAUAAUAAAUUAUUUUAUUGGGGUGAUACAAAAAUUUAAUGAACUUUUUUAUUAAUAUUUCUUAAAUUAAAGAUUUUUAAAAAUAUGAUCUACUAUUAGUAAUUCAGAGAAUAAGAUACUUUAGGGAUAACAGCGUAAUUUUAAUUUUAAGUUCUCAUUAAAAUUAAAGAUUGC
rnacentral:rRNA from 1 species